rnacentral:rRNA from 1 species
AAACUUAGUAUCGCAUGAUAUCAAGUUAAAAGGCGCUACGGCGUCACCUAGAGAUGGAUCCGCGGUGCAUUAGUUAGUUGGUGGGGUAAAGGCUUACCAAGACGAUGAUGCAUAGCCGAGUUGAGAGACUGAUCGGCCACAUUGGGACUGAGACACGGCCCAAACUCCUACGGGAGGCUGCAGUAGGGAAUCUUCCACAAUGGGCGCAAGCCUGAUGGAGCAACGCCGCGUGUGUGAUGAAGGCUUUCGGGUCGUAAAGCACUGUUGUAUGGGAAGAAAUGCUAAAAUAGGGAAUGAUUUUAGUUUGACGGUACCAUACCAGAAAGGGACGGCUAAAUACGUGCCAGCAGCCGCGGUAAUACGUAUGUCCCGAGCGUUAUCCGGAUUUAUUGGGCGUAAAGCGAGCGCAGACGGUUGAUUAAGUCUGAUGUGAAAGCCCGGAGCUCAACUCCGGAAUGGCAUUGGAAACUGGUUAACUUGAGUGUUGUAGAGGUAAGUGGAACUCCAUGUGUAGCGGUGGAAUGCGUAGAUAUAUGGAAGAACACCAGUGGCGAAGGCGGCUUACUGGACAACAACUGACGUUGAGGCUCGAAAGUGUGGGUAGCAAACAGGAUUAGAUACCCUGGUAGUCCACACCGUAAACGAUGAAUACUAGGUGUUAGGAGGUUUCCGCCUCUUAGUGCCGAAGCUAACGCAUUAA